rnacentral:rRNA from 1 species
CGGAGGAUCCAAGCGUUAUCCGGAAUCAUUGGGUUUAAAGGGUCCGUAGGCGGUUUGGUAAGUCAGUGGUGAAAUCCCUUCGCUCAACGGAGGAACGGCCAUUGAUACUGCCAGACUUGAAUUACUGGGAAGUAACUAGAAUAUGUAGUGUAGCGGUGAAAUGCUUAGAUAUUACAUGGAAUACCAAUUGCGAAGGCAGGUUACUACCAGUGGAUUGACGCUGAUGGACGAAAGCGUGGGGAGCGAACAGGAUUAGAUACCCUGGUAGUCCACGCCGUAAACGAUGGAUACUAGCUGUUGGGAGCAAUCUCAGUGGCUAAGCGAAAGUGAUAAGUAUCCCACCUGGGGAGUACGUUCGCAAGAAUG